GACGAACGCUGGCGGCGUGCUUAACACAUGCAAGUCGAACGGAAAGGCCUGCUUUCCCUUGUGGAUUGCGGGUACUCGAGUGGCGAACGGGUGAGUAACACGUGAGUGAUCUGCCCCCAACUUGGGUAUAAGCCUGGGAAACUGGGUCUAAUUCCCGAUAGGACUGCAGGGUGGUGCCUGUGGUGGAAAACGAUUUUCUAGUGGUUGGGGAUGAGCUCGCGGCCUAUCAGCUUGUUGGUGGGGUAAUGGCCUACCAAGGCGGCGACGGGUAGCCGGCCUGAGAGGGUGGACGGCCACAUUGGGACUGAGAUACGGCCCAGACUCCUACGGGAGGCAGCAGUGGGGAAUAUUGCACAAUGGGCGGAAGCCUGAUGCAGCGACGCCGCGUGGGGGAUGACGGCCUACGGGUUGUAAACUCCUUUCGACCGCGAGGAAGCCACCUGGUUGGAAGGGUGGUGACGGUAGUGGUAGAAGAAGCACCGGCUAACUACGUG
rnacentral:rRNA from 1 species